GCUUCCGACUGCUGGGGGCCCGGCAGCGCCGGGGCGGCUCCUCAGCCUUGCCGGGUGUCCAGAGCUCAGCUGCGGGGGGAGGGGCCCCGCUGAACCCCGGCGCUGGGCAAAUGCAGGGACUGGACAACGGUGACGUCAAACGCCCAGGGGGGCAGGUUCAGGGGCGCCCUGUUCCCAACGCGCCUCCAAAUCGGCGGGCUUGCAACGUGGUCCGGCACCGGCACCGACCCUGGCGGCCAAGGCCGGGACGGGUCCGCCCGCUGGGCUAGUCCCGGCCGAAGCUGCACUCGGCACUGUAGGGGGGCUGCUUUGCGGGGCUGUAGCUAACGCCCAGAGACGUAGUGCUGCUCCCGUCAAGCGUAGGGACUUGGUGGGGAUUUACCCUGGGCUUCAGCCGGGCUGACUUUGGGAGCUCGGGAGGUAACUAAACCUGGAGAGUGGAUUUUCGGGGAGUUCCUAAGAACCACAGAUUGGCUGGAUGACACUUGGCACUUCUCCAGCAUCUUCCAUCCCGGGAUCUCAAAGCACUUUCCCAACAACAGUCGUGAUUAAACCCAGCCACUCUUGUGGGGAUUCACUACAAGUGUUGUCUUUGAUGUGAGAUCUAAGGUGCAAUUUACCUGGGGUGACUGGUCCUUUUGGGGCUGGAAGUCACCUGAAUAUUGGUGUAAUUCAUGGUUUAAGGGACCAUCUAUCACAAAGGUACUUCCCCACAGAAAUACAGUCACAUCUAUGAUUGCAAGCCAUGAAGGAUGAAUGGGUCUGAUUGAUGAAAAGUGGAGCAACCAUCACAGGGACAGUCUCCUAGAUGGCCUGGGAAGCCCACUGGGAAAAACCAAUAUAAAAAAUACCAGGUAUUCAAGGUCUUUUUAAUCUAAAAAAAAGAAAAGCACAACAAGGACCGAUGGCUGGAAGCUGAAGCCAAACAAAUUUUAAUCAGAACUAAGACACAAAUUUUUAACAGUGCAGUCGAUUAAUCAUUGGAACAAAACUACCAUGGGAGGUGGUUAUGUGAAGACAUGAAGCAAUGGAGAAUCCAAGACUGGAUGCUUUUCUGGAAGAUAUGCUUUGGUCAGCAAAUGAGUUAUGGGGCUCAAACAGGGGUAAUUGGAUGGCAUGGAAUGAACUGUGAUAUGCAGGAGUUCAGACUAACGGUCCCUUCUGGAUUUAAAAAACUGUGAGAUUAAAUUAGAAUCCCCCCUAGCCCUGACCCCUGCCUUUUCUCUCUUCAUCGUCAUUUCCAGUCGUAUAAUUUUGUUUCCCUUUUUUUGUUUACAUAAAGUCCAAUGCUUCUGUGCCCUCAAUGAUUAUUUAAAAUCCAAAAAAUUAAAAAUUCUAAAUGGGAUAUUCCAGCAAACUGUUAAAAAUAAAACUGGUAUUUGUCCAUUAGUCACUUUUGACUACUGAAUAGGACUGUAGCUAGAAAACUGCAUAGAGGUUGCUAGAGGAACAUUAAGAGGAGGAAGGAGUUAAUUGAAUGAAAGGUCUGCUUCAGGUGAAACUCAGGCUAAAUAAGGGUUCUUUUAGGUUGGCUUUUUUAGUCAAUUUAGAGAAGAUUCCUGUGGAAUGCAGUAAGGAUGAAACCAAAACUUUCUAUAGAAAUUAUUACUAGAAAUCUACUGAAAUGUCUAUAAUGUUCUUGAACCAUUCUGCAGUAUUACUGAAUUAUAUUCCUGCCAUAGAUUUCUAUAGAAACAGUAUUCAUCAUUCUUUUCUACAAUGAUUAGAGUAGUUAAUGUUCUCUGUUGCUAUGUAGGAAAGCAAAGUCAAUGCAUCUGAAGAAGUGGGUUUUUUACCCACGAAAGCUUAUGCCCAAAUAAAUGUUAGUUUUUAAGGUGCCACCAGACUCCUUUUUGUUAAAGUUGAAGUAGUGAGUUUUACAUUUGGAACUAAAAAACCUCCAUUCGAGGUUACUGCAAAGGACAGUUCUACAAUUCAGUUGGAAAAAAAUACAACUGGGAUGACUAAAGACGCUGAGGCUG